rnacentral:lncRNA from 1 species
ACUUCUUACAUUCAGGGAUACCCAGACAGUAAUCCAGCCAGGGCUUGUGAAGAAAGACAGGGAGAAGACCAUUUCCACUGGACACUCAACCCAUCCAUCCUAGCCACACAGAAAUGAAGGCAAAGAGCACUUCCUGGCAAGCAAGAGUUAAACAGAAGACUGAAUCCUCUUGCUGUGAAGACCAUCAAGGCCAAAUGUGAGCUCUGACCUUCAUUAAUUCAAGUGUUAUGCUUUUGCAAUGGGACUGUAGUUUGCCUGAUGCAUCUGCUCUUCCUAAUUUGGCCUGUUUGGAUAACAAAGCUCCGAGUGAUCAUCUAAACCUCAUUUGAUGCACCUGUGAACAAUUCAUUAUAUUAAUAUAACAGCAGGGGAGGAGUAGAGACACUAAUAAAUAGAUUUUAGCUGCCAGGACUCCUUGUCACAGCUACAGAGGCCCCUUCAUUCUCUCUGCAUAGGUA